UAAGUUAUUAAGGGCGCACGGUGGAUGCCUUGGCACUAGAAGCCGAUGAAGGACGUUACUAACGACGAUAUGCUUUGGGGAGCUGUAAGUAAGCUUUGAUCCAGAGAUUUCCGAAUGGGGAAACCCAGCAUGAGUUAUGUCAUGUUAUCGAUAUGUGAAUACAUAGCAUAUCAGAAGGCACACCCGGAGAACUGAAACAUCUUAGUACCCGGAGGAAGAGAAAGAAAAUUCGAUUCCCUUAGUAGCGGCGAGCGAAACGGGAAGAGCCCAAACCAACAAGCUUGCUUGUUGGGGUUGUAGGACACUCUAUACGGAGUUACAAAAGACGACAUUAGACGAAUCAUCUGGAAAGAUGAAUCAAAGAAGGUAAUAAUCCUGUAGUCGAAAAUGUUGUCUCUCUUGAGUGGAUCCUGAGUACGACGGAGCACGUGAAAUUCCGUCGGAAUCUGGGAGGACCAUCUCCUAAGGCUAAAUACUCUCUAGUGACCGAUAGUGAACCAGUACCGUGAGGGAAAGGUGAAAAGCACCCCGGAAGGGGAGUGAAAUAGAACCUGAAACCGUGUGCUUACAAGUAGUCAGAGCCCGUUAAUGGGUGAUGGCGUGCCUUUUGUAGAAUGAACCGGCGAGUUACGAUUUGAUGCAAGGUUAAGCAGUAAAUGUGGAGCCGUAGCGAAAGCGAGUCUGAAUAGGGCGUUUAGUAUUUGGUCGUAGACCCGAAACCAGGUGAUCUACCCUUGGUCAGGUUGAAGUUCAGGUAACACUGAAUGGAGGACCGAACCGACUUACGUUGAAAAGUGAGCGGAUGAACUGAGGGUAGCGGAGAAAUUCCAAUCGAACCUGGAGAUAGCUGGUUCUCUCCGAAAUAGCUUUAGGGCUAGCCUCAAGUGAUGAUUAUUGGAGGUAGAGCACUGUUUGGACGAGGGGCCCCUCUCGGGUUACCGAAUUCAGACAAACUCCGAAUGCCAAUUAAUUUAACUUGGGAGUCAGAACAUGGGUGAUAAGGUCCGUGUUCGAAAGGGAAACAGCCCAGACCACCAGCUAAGGUCCCAAAAUAUAUGUUAAGUGGAAAAGGAUGUGGCGUUGCCCAGACAACUAGGAUGUUGGCUUAGAAGCAGCCAUCAUUUAAAGAGUGCGUAAUAGCUCACUAGUCGAGUGACACUGCGCCGAAAAUGUACCGGGGCUAAACAUAUUACCGAAGCUGUGGAUUGUCCUUUGGACAAUGGUAGGAGAGCGUUCUAAGGGCGUUGAAGCAUGAUCGUAAGGACAUGUGGAGCGCUUAGAAGUGAGAAUGCCGGUGUGAGUAGCGAAAGACGGGUGAGAAUCCCGUCCACCGAUUGACUAAGGUUUCCAGAGGAAGGCUCGUCCGCUCUGGGUUAGUCGGGUCCUAAGCUGAGGCCGACAGGCGUAGGCGAUGGAUAACAGGUUGAUAUUCCUGUACCACCUAUAAUCGUUUUAAUCGAUGGGGGGACGCAGUAGGAUAGGCGAAGCGUGCGAUUGGAUUGCACGUCUAAGCAGUAAGGCUGAGUAUUAGGCAAAUCCGGUACUCAUUAAGGCUGAGCUGUGAUGGGGAGAAGACAUUGUGUCUUCGAGUCGUUGAUUUCACACUGCCGAGAAAAGCCUCUAGAUAGAAAAUAGGUGCCCGUACCGCAAACCGACACAGGUAGUCAAGAUGAGAAUUCUAAGGUGAGCGAGCGAACUCUCGUUAAGGAACUCGGCAAAAUGACCCCGUAACUUCGGGAGAAGGGGUGCUCUUUAGGGUUAACGCCCAGAAGAGCCGCAGUGAAUAGGCCCAAGCGACUGUUUAUCAAAAACACAGGUCUCUGCUAAACCGUAAGGUGAUGUAUAGGGGCUGACGCCUGCCCGGUGCUGGAAGGUUAAGAGGAGUGGUUAGCUUCUGCGAAGCUACGAAUCGAAGCCCCAGUAAACGGCGGCCGUAACUAUAACGGUCCUAAGGUAGCGAAAUUCCUUGUCGGGUAAGUUCCGACCCGCACGAAAGGCGUAACGAUUUGGGCACUGUCUCAACGAGAGACUCGGUGAAAUCAUAGUACCUGUGAAGAUGCAGGUUACCCGCGACAGGACGGAAAGACCCCGUGGAGCUUUACUGUAGCCUGAUAUUGAAAUUCGGCACAGCUUGUACAGGAUAGGUAGGAGCCUUUGAAACGUGAGCGCUAGCUUACGUGGAGGCGCUGGUGGGAUACUACCCUAGCUGUGUUGGCUUUCUAACCCGCACCACUUAUCGUGGUGGGAGACAGUGUCAGGCGGGCAGUUUGACUGGGGCGGUCGCCUCCUAAAAGGUAACGGAGGCGCUCAAAGGUUCCCUCAGAAUGGUUGGAAAUCAUUCAUAGAGUGUAAAGGCAUAAGGGAGCUUGACUGCGAGACCUACAAGUCGAGCAGGGUCGAAAGACGGACUUAGUGAUCCGGUGGUUCCGCAUGGAAGGGCCAUCGCUCAACGGAUAAAAGCUACCCCGGGGAUAACAGGCUUAUCUCCCCCAAGAGUUCACAUCGACGGGGAGGUUUGGCACCUCGAUGUCGGCUCAUCGCAUCCUGGGGCUGUAGUCGGUCCCAAGGGUUGGGCUGUUCGCCCAUUAAAGCGGUACGCGAGCUGGGUUCAGAACGUCGUGAGACAGUUCGGUCCCUAUCCGUCGUGGGCGUAGGAAAUUUGAGAGGAGCUGUCCUUAGUACGAGAGGACCGGGAUGGACAUACCUCUGGUGUACCAGUUGUCGUGCCAACGGCAUAGCUGGGUAGCUAUGUGUGGACGGGAUAAGUGCUGAAAGCAUCUAAGCAUGAAGCCCCCCUCAAGAUGAGAUUUCCCAACUUCGGUUAUAAGAUCCCUCAAAGAUGAUGAGGUUAAUAGGUUCGAGGUGGAAGCAUGGUGACAUGUGGAGCUGACGAAUACUAAUCGAUCGAAGACUUAAUCA
rnacentral:rRNA from 1 species